rnacentral:rRNA from 1 species
UACGUAGGUGGCAAGCGUUGUCCGGAUUUACUGGGCGUAAAGAGCGCGCAGGCGGUCGUUCAAGUCGCGUGUGAAAGCCCCCGGCUCAACUGGGGAGGGUCACGCGAUACUGAUCGACUGGAAGGCAGGAGAGGGUAGUGGAAUUCCCGGUGUAGUGGUGAAAUGCGUAGAUAUCAGGAGGAACACCGGUGGUGUAGACGGCUUUCUGGACCGACACUGACGCUGAGACACGAAAGCGUGGGUAGCAAACAGG